rnacentral:lncRNA from 1 species
GCCCAGGGAGCUAAUGUUGCCCCCACAGCAGCAUGUCCUGAGGUUCAGGUGCUGUUUUCUUACCACCCUUGUGUUCUUCCCACUCCACUUUGCCCUCUACGAGAGCUCAAAUUGCCCCUUAGAGCCACAUUCAGAAUAUUUGUUCGGUCCAUGCUGGUAACAUAGUACAUCUUUCAUCUUUUCUCGUAGGUCAGUUCAAAUGUUUUUAUCUGCAACGAACAGUGCCGUAACUGUAAACACUCUGCCAGCUUGUGUUCAUAGCUACACCAUGACAUCUGCCCUCAGGACUUGCUUGGUCCACAGAGGAGGGGAAACAGGAGCUGACUAUCGAAAAGAUAGUUUGGCCCAUGAAGUUAAGUCACUAGCUGUGAGUUUUGGUUUUGCUUCCCCCAUCAGGUCCUCUGUGAUCGGGCAAUCCUGGGAGAAGAAAUGUGUCUGUACCACCUAAGCACAUCACUCUUCCCUCCAGCUUUUGCAGGCCCCUCCACUGCAGCAUCCCUUUCCCACUGCAGGAACAGAAGCGGAAACUCAGAGAGAAAUCUGUGGACUGCCAGUAAUGAGAUAGAAGCAAGAGCUGAUGAAAGCUUUGAGGUCUUCUCCUCAGGGAGAAGCAGCAUGUCCUUUGGAGUCACUUGUAGGGGUGGAGGAGAGUGUUGGUCUUCCAUUACAGCAGAAGGAACUACAGCCCAAGAAGAUACCUGGGUGUUUGGAAGAGGACUUGAACUCAGGAACAUUUGGGAAUCAUUUAAGACAGGAAGACAACAUCCACUCGAGUUUAAUUCCCUGUGCUUGUUUGUUUGUGUCUAGUUGCUCAGCUGUGAGUGGGGCAUAAAUCACUUGAGACCCUUCAUUCCUCUGUAAUUUACUGUUGGAAAGGACAGAAAUAAAUUUUAACAUAUUUGUGAGACA